UGACCACUCUGGUGGCAUAGUGGUUAUAACGUCCGCCUAGUAUGCGAGAGGUCGCGGGUUCGAGUCUGCCGAGUCAU